ACCGCGGGGCACAGGGGUGCGCGAGGGCGGAGGGGGUGUGGGGAGGGUCGGGGGAUGUUUCUCGGCCCACAAACCAGUCUGUUGGCGUCUGAUUUCAGAUCCUGAGUCGACUCCCUGGAGCAGAAGCUUUAUGAAGAUCUCAUUGGAAUCCAGCGGAUGAUUAAUGUGAAGAUUUGGUAGGAAAUCUGGAGAGCUGUAUUAAAGCUCAGAUCUCAGGUUCAUUUCGAUCAGCCAGCCGUGAACUCUAGGCCGAAUUCAUUACACUUUAAUAGUGCUGGGAGAGAAAGAAAAUGCAAUUUCUCAUUCCAUUAGAAAACUAGAAAAUACUCUCAGCUUGUCCCCUAUUAAGAUGUGGCAGGUGACGGGACCAUUGUGGGGGACACGGUCAAUGGAAUUACAGCACAUUAUUUUUGUUCGUAUAAAAUAUUGGAAGGCAAGCCUGACUGUGCAGAAGUUAUUUCACUGAUUUGGUUUUUAUGUAAAUAAAAUAUUGAAAGUUAA